rnacentral:lncRNA from 1 species
UGAGCCACCGCGCCCAGCCAGAACUUGAUCAUUUUAUUGCCCCAUGUGUGGCAGAGGACAGUCCAGGGAACACCAAAAGGAUUAUUACAGCAUGAAUUAUUCUAGAGGUGGACAAGGAGUGACACAGGGUGGAGGAGUCACAUCACACUUCCUUAAAUCAAUGUCUUGUCAUCAAACUCUCAUUGCAUGGGAACUUUUUGUCAGCUAAGAAGCAUUUCUGGUCUUCACUGAGCCAUAAUUUCAUCAUCUUUAAAGUGGAGUUUUCAGGGACUUGGUUAUACUCCAGGAACCAGUGAUGAUAUUGGCUCCUGAUAUCCAGGAAGCUUUGAAGGCCCUGAGACCAGUAACUGGGAUGUUCAGGAAGGAGCUCAGGACUGAGGACAGACCACUGAGAAUAGAAUCCAAAUUGCUCCAAACAGACAUGUUAGAAGCUAGAAGAUUAUGGAAGGGAGACUUCAACAUUCUGAAUGAAAUGAUUCCUGAUGUGGAAUGUCAUAACCAAUGAAAUCAUCAGUCAGGUGUGAGAAUUAAAUAAAGACAACUUCAGAGAUGAAUGUUCUCAAAAUUUUACCUGCCCUAUAUUCUUUUUCA